AUUGUACUCCCUCCGUCUCAAAAUUUUUGUCUUAGAUUUGUUUAAAUAUGAAUGUAUCAAGUCAUGUUUUAGUAUUAGAUACAUAUGUAUCUAGACUAAUCUAAGACAAAAAUUUUAGGACGAAGGGAGUAUAAA
rnacentral:pre_miRNA from 1 species